UGGUGGGGUGACUUGUCUGCUUAAUUGCGAUAACGAACGAGACCUUAACCUGCUAAAUAGCCCGCAUUGCUCCGGCAGUGCGCUGGCUUCUCAGAGGGACUUUCGGCUCAAGCCGAAGGAAGUUUGAGGCAAUAACA
rnacentral:rRNA from 1 species